GCUCAAGCAAAGGAUAAUUUCAAUAGCUGCUGCAAACAAGCACUCCGCUGUAGUUGCUGAUACUGGCGAAGUAUUCACCUGGGGUUGCAAUAAGGAGGGCCAACUAGGAUAUGGCACUUCAAACUCAGCAUCAAAAUGUAUCCCAAGAAUGGUGGAGUACUUGAAAGGAAAAGUACUUAGAGGUGUUUCUGCAGCAAAGUAUCAUACAAUAGUGUUAGGAGCUGAUGGAGAGGUGUUCACUUGGGGCCAUCGCCUUGUCACCCCACGGCGUGUCGUAGUAGCUCGAUGCCUUAAGAAGGGUGGAAAUA